ACAGCCUGNAACCCGGCUGUAUGAAGCUGGAAUCGCUAGUAAUCGCAGAUCAGAAUGCUGCGGUGAAUACGUUCCCGGGUCUUGUACACACCGCCCGUCACACCAUGGGAGCCAGGAAUGCCCGAAGCCAGUGGCCUAACCGCAAGGGAGGAGCUGUCGAAGGCAGGCCCGGUAACUGGGUGAAGUCGUAACAAGGUAUC
rnacentral:rRNA from 1 species